GACGGAGGGGGCAAGCGUUGUCCGGACUCACUGGGCGUAAAGAGCGCGUAGGCGGUGCAUUGCGUCGCUCCUGAAAGUGCCGUGCUUAACACGGCGAGGUGGAGCGAUACGAAUGCGCUUGAGGCAGGGAGAGGCUGGCGGAAUUCCCGAUGGAGUGGUGAAAUACGUAGAGAUCGGGAGGAACGCCUGAGGCGUAAGCGGCCAGCUGGUCCUGUUCUGACGCUGAGGCGCGACAGCGUGGGGAG
rnacentral:rRNA from 1 species